GACGAACGCUGGCGGCGUGCCUAAUACAUGCAAGUAGAACGCUGAAGGAGGAGCUUGCUUCUCUGGAUGAGUUGCGAACGGGUGAGUAACGCGUAGGUAGCCUGCCUGGUAGUGGGGGAUAACUAUUGGAAACGAUAGCUAAUACCGCAUAAUAGCAGUUGUUGCAUGAUAACUGUUUGAAAGGUGCAAUUGCACCGCUACCAGAUGGACCUGCGUUGUAUUAGCUAGUUGGUGGGGUAACGGCUCACCAAGGCGACGAUACAUAGCCGACCUGAGAGGGUGAUCGGCCACACUGGGACUGAGACACGGCCCAGACUCCUACGGGAGGCAGCAGUAGGGAAUCUUCGGCAAUGGACGGAAGUCUGACCGAGCAACGCCGCGUGAGUGAAGAAGGUUUUCGGAUCGUAAAGCUCUGUUGUAAGAGAAGAACGAGUGUGAGAGUGGAAAGUUCACACUGUGACGGUAUCUUACCAGAAAGGGACGGCUAACUACGUG
rnacentral:rRNA from 1 species